UACGUAGGGGGCAAGCGUUGUCCGGAAUCAUUGGGCGUAAAGAGCGUGUAGGCGGCUCGGUAAGUCCGCUCUGAAAGCCCGGGGCUCAACCCCGGGAGGCGGGCGGAUACUGUCGGGCUAGAGUCCGGAAGAGGCGAGUGGAAUUCCUGGUGUAGCGGUGAAAUGCGCAGGAUAUCAGGAGGAACACCAAUGGCGAAGGCAGCUCGCUGGGACGGUACUGACGCUGAGACGCGAAAGCGUGGGGAGCAAACAGG
rnacentral:rRNA from 1 species